GGAGUUUUUUAUCUUGAUAGCACUUCGAACUUGCUUACCAGGUUCAUAAGGAAAAUAAAGCUUAUUGGAAGGAUCAAGUUUCAACCGACGGCGUGCAGGAAGCAAAGACCUGGCUACUGAAGAAACGGAGCUGGAACUGUUGCUACGAGGAACCGAUCCAUCAUCCAGAGAAGUAUUUCCGAGAGAUUGAUGUUGUUGACUGCGGUAAUGAAGAGUAUUAUGCGAAGACGAACGCGAAGUCGUCGUUGACUGUGCGUUUCGAAAAGGGAGCUUAAACAGUCCCCAAACUUUACCGUCCUUCUCGUCGGCGAUCGCCAUCAGAUACCGGAAACUAAGGAACUUUCACCGGUAAUUCGGAGAUUUCAGAACGACGUCGUGCAGUCUCCUUUAUUGACAGCUUGUUGACAACACUUUUUGGAAUAGCAGGGAGUUGAAUUUUG
rnacentral:misc_RNA from 1 species